CCGAAAGCCUUCCAUGUAAUAAAGGACUGAGUUGAUACUCAUGAAACUCUGUACCAGGCACCUCCCACUUGUCAGGGUGAUCUCACCAAGCAUGUCACUUACAUUAAAUUCUCACCACAACCUUAUGAGGGGGCUCUUAAUCCUCUCUUCUAGAUGGAGUUGAUGCUUAGCAAGGUUAUCUUGAGUGUCCAAGGCCACGUGAUUAGUAAGUAGCAGGGCCCUGCCUGUUUGACUUUGGAGCUUAGCUUUUAACCACUAGCCUUACUGGACACAGGUGAGAAAGCCUGGAACAGCCUGCUUCUCAUACACUGAGGCCCCAAAUGGGCCAGAGGGUGUGGGUAGAAUACAAAUCAUGUGUAU
rnacentral:lncRNA from 10 species